AUUGAACGCUGGCGGCAGGCCUAACACAUGCAAGUCGAGCGGAUGAAGGGAGCUUGCUCCUGGAUUCAGCGGCGGACGGGUGAGUAAUGCCUAGGAAUCUGCCUGGGAGUGGGGGAUAACGUCCGGAAACGGGCGCUAAUACCGCAUACGUCCUGAGGGAGAAAGUGGGGGAGCUUCGGACCUCUCGCUAUCAGAUGAGCCUAGGUCGGAUUAGCUGGUUGGUGGGGUAAAGGCCUACCAAGGCGACGAUCCGUAACUGGUCUGAGAGGAUGAUCAGUCACACUGGAACUGAGACACGGUCCAGACUCCUACGGGAGGCAGCAGUGGGGAAUAUUGGACAAUGGGCGAAAGCCUGAUCCAGCCAUGCCGCGUGUGUGAAGAAGGUCUUCGGAUUGUAAAGCACUUUAAGUUGGGAGGAAGGGCAGUAAGUUAAUACCUUGCUGUUUUGACGUUACCAACAGAAUAAGCACCGGCUAACUUCGUG
rnacentral:rRNA from 1 species